GAGUUUGAUCCUGGCUCAGAUUGAACGCUGGCGGCAGGCCUAACACAUGCAAGUCGAGCGGAUGACGGGAGCUUGCUCCUUGAUUCAGCGGCGGACGGGUGAGUGAUGCCUAGGAAUCUGCCUGGUAGUGGGGGACAACGUUUCGAAAGGAACGCUAAUACCGCAUACGUCCUACGGGAGAAAGCAGGGGACCUUCGGGCCUUGCGCUAUCAGAUGAGCCUAGGUCGGAUUAGCUAGUUGGUGGGGUAAUGGCUCACCAAGGCGACGAUCCGUAACUGGUCUGAGAGGAUGAUCAGUCACACUGGAACUGAGACACGGUCCAGACUCCUACGGGAGGCAGCAGUGGGGAAUAUUGGACAAUGGGCGAAAGCCUGAUCCAGCCAUGCCGCGUGUGUGAAGAAGGUCUUCGGAUUGUAAAGCACUUUAAGUUGGGAGGAAGGGCAGUAAGUUAAUACCUUGCUGUUUUGACGUUACCGACAGAAUAAGCACCGGCUAACUCUGUGCCAGCCGCCG
rnacentral:rRNA from 1 species